rnacentral:rRNA from 1 species
AUUGAACGCUGGCGGAAUGCUUUACACAUGCAAGUCGAGCGGCAGCGCGGGGGCAACCCUGGCGGCGAGCGGCGAACGGGUGAGUAACAUAUCGGAACGUACCCCGUCGUGGGGGAUAACACAGCGAAAGCUGUGCUAAUACCGCAUACGACCUGAGGGUGAAAGCGGGGGAUCGCAAGACCUCGCGCGAUGGGAGCGGCCGAUAUCGGAUUAGCUUGUUGGUGAGGUAAAGGCUCACCAAGGCGACGAUCCGUAGCUGGUCUGAGAGGACGACCAGCCACACUAGAACUGAGACACGGUCCAGACUCCUACGGGAGGCAGCAGUGGGGAAUAUUGCGCAAUGGGCGAAAGCCUGACGCAGCGACGCCGCGUGAGUGAUGAAGGCCUUAGGGUCGUAAAGCUCUGUUGAAUGGGAAGAAAAAAAUAGACGGUACCAUUCGAGAAAGGACCGGCUAACUUCGUGCCAGCAGCCGCGGUAAU